GAUGAAGAACGUAGCGAAAUGCGAUACGUAAUGUGAAUUGCAGAAUUCAGUGAAUCAUCGAGUCUUUGAACGCACAUUGCGCCCCCUGGUAUUCCGGGGGGCAUGCCUGUCCGAGCGUCAUUGCUGCCCUCAAGCACGGCUUGUGUGUUGGGCCUCCGUCCUCCUCCCGGGGGACGGGCCCGAAAGGCAGCGGCGGCACCGCGUCCGGUCCUCGAGCGUAUGGGGCUUCGUCACCCGCUCCUGUAGGCCCGGCCGGCGCUUGCCGACACAUCAAUCUUUUUUCCAGGUUGACCUCGGAUCAGGUAGGGAUACCCGCUGAACUUAAGCAUAUCAAUAAGCGGAGGA
rnacentral:misc_RNA from 1 species